GUCCCCAUCGUCUAGAGGCCGAGGACGUCACCCUCUCACGGUGAAGACCGGGGUUCGAAUCCCCGUGGGGACGCCA
rnacentral:tRNA from 1 species